UACAGGGGGUGCAAGCGUUGUUCGGAAUUACUGGGCGUAAAGCGCGGGCAGGUGGCCUUUUAAGUCCUUUGUGAAAUCCCGGAGCUCAACUCCGGAUGUGCAUAGGAUACUGGAAGGCUUGGGACUGGUAGAGGCGAGCGGAAUUCCUGGUGUAGCGGUGGAAUGCGCAGAUAUCAGGAGGAACACCGAUGGCGAAGGCGGCAUCCUGGACCACGACUGACGCUGAGGAGCGAAAGCCAGGGGAGCAAACGGG
rnacentral:rRNA from 1 species